rnacentral:rRNA from 1 species
GUGAGGAAUAUUGGUCAAUGGCCGGAAGGCUGAACCAGCCAUCCCGCGUGCAGGAUGACGGCCCUAUGGGUUGUAAACUGCUUUUGUACCUGAAGAAACCUGGUUACGUGUAACCAGUUGCCGGUAAGGUAUGAAUAAGCAUCGGCUAACUCCGUGCCAGCAGCCGCGGUAAUACGGAGGAUGCAAGCGUUAUCCGGAUUCAUUGGGUUUAAAGGGUGCGCAGGUGGGAAAAUAAGUCAGUGGUGAAAUACUGCCGCUUAACGGUAGAAUUGCCAUUGAUACUGUUUUUCUUGAGUAUGGUUGAGGUAGGUGGAAUGUGUUGUGUAGCGGUGAAAUGCAUAGAUAUGACACAGAACGCCGAUUGCGAAGGCAGCUUACUAAGCCAUUACUGACGCUGAGGCACGAAAGCGUGGGGAUCAAACAGGAUUAGAUACCCGGGUAGUCC